rnacentral:lncRNA from 1 species
CAAGUCGCCUACGUGCGCGCCCGGGAGCUGCACACUCUUGAAGUGACCGGCCUGGAGACGGUUGCCCAGAGCAAGGCCCAUGUAGCAUCCCUGGAGGGCCUCAUCCCUGAAGAUAAGGUUGUGCUUCUGGCAGGUUCUCCCUUACAGAAUGAAGCCACCCUGGGUCAGUGUGGGGUGGAAGCCCUGACAACCCUGGAAGUGGUUGGCCGCAGGCUAGGAGAUGGUGAGUUUAUAAAAGACUGUCUAUUGAGUGCAGCGGAAAUCAUGUGUCCUGAACAGAAAGAAGCAUUUGCAGACAUAAGCCUAACCAGAAAAACUGUUGCUCAGAGAGUAAAAGAUAUGGCUGAGAAUUUACAGGAUAAGUUGUGAGAAAAAGUGAGAUCAUUUGUGACAUUUUCUAUUGCAGUUGAUGAGUGCACAUAUGUAAAUAAUACAAGUCAGUUAAUUAUGUUUA